GACGUAGGGCGCGAGCGUUGUCCGGAUUUAUUGGGCGUAAAGAGCUCGUAGGCGGCUUGUCGCGUCGUCCGUGAAAACUUGGGGCUCAACCCCAAGCUUGCGGUCGAUACGGGCAGGCUAGAGUUCGGUAGGGGAGACUGGAAUUCCUGGCGUAGCGGUGAAAUGCGCAGAUAUCAGGAGGAACACCGGUGGCGAAGGCGGGUCUCUGGGCCGAUACUGACGCUGAGGAGCGAAAGCGUGGGGAGCGAACAGG
rnacentral:rRNA from 1 species